UACUCCUACGGGAGGCAGCAGUGGGGAAUUUUACGCAAUGGGCGAAAGCCUGACGUAGCGACACCGCGUGAGCGAAGAAGCCCCUUGGGGUGUAAAGCUCUGUCAGCUGGAACGAAAAAAAUGACGGUACCAGCAGAGGAAGCAUCGGCUAACUACGUGCCAGCAGCCGCGGUAAGACGUAGGAUGCAAGCGUUGUCCGGAUUUAUUGGGCGUAAAGAGUUCGUAGGUGGUUUGUUAAGUUUGGUGUUAAAGAUUGGGGCUCAACCCUGAAACUGCACUGAAUACUGGCAGACUCGAGUGUGGUAGAGGCUAGUGGAAUUCCCAGUGUAGCGGUGAAAUGCGUAGAUAUUGGGAAGAACACCGGUGGCGUAGGCGACUAGCUGGGCCAUAACUGACACUGAGGAACGAAAGCCAGGGGAGCGAAUGGGAUUAGAUACCCCAGUAGUCCUGGCCGUAAACGAUGGAUACUAGGCGUAUCGGGUAUCGACCCCUGAUGUGCCGCAGCUAACGCGAUAAGUAUCCCGCCUGAGUAGUACGGCCGCAAGGUUGAAACUCACAGGAAUUGACGGGGGCCCGCACAAGCGGUGGAGCAUGUGGA
rnacentral:rRNA from 1 species